CAUAUUGGCUUUCCUGAGCACUGUAAAAUGUUUUAUUAUGAAAAAAGUGGAUAAGAUACUUAUCUUUUAAAUUGGAGUUUAAUAUUUUAUUAGUGCCAGGCACAUAAUUCUCAUCAAAUGGCAGGAAACUCUUUUUUGUAUGGAUAUAAAUGUCUAGAGUUUAAUAUUUCAAAGAUAAGUACCUACCACUGCAUCUAUCACACAGCAGCUUAAUGGAAUUUACUUUUUCUUAAAUAUUUAUACUGUAUAUGUGUUUGCUAGUCAAGUGAUUACAGAGCUGUAAGGUAGAGGGUGAGGCUGGUCAGUUGUUAAGAAGAGGAGCCACACAGCAAUUGGCGGGGUUUUAGUCCACACAUCAUUAACCUGAACAAGGAGGGAAUCAUUAAGUAAUUCAGGCCCAACGGCUUUGAGGAGGGACAAUAAGAAAAGUCUACUCUUCAAAAACAGCCUGAAAGUUUUUCUGAUUUAACCUAAAUUUCCAGACAACAGUUUGGAAAAAUUACUUUUAUUAGAUUAGAACAAAAAGGGGAAGUCAGGGGUGCUUGGCUUUCAAAGGGAAAUUUCAUUGUGUUGAAAAUCCUCCUUACAUAUCCCAGCCAGCUGGGGCUUUUUCCGAGGACUGAACAUAGAGCUGGUCUUCAGUUCUUCAGCCCUGUAAACUCUUUCAUCGGGCCUGAGAAAUGCUUUCUGAUCCAUGCUGAUACAAUUACCUAGCCUUUAUUGGCAAUUUAGACCUGCUUUUAGGGACAUUUUAGAGCAAAUGAUGUUUUCUUGAUUUUUUUUUUAAAGCAGUGCUAUUCUCUAUACCUUUGGGAUAAGGUAGAAACCGAGUUAGAGGCUCAUUAAUGGGCUGAUUGUUACAGUGUGAUUUUUUUGUUGUUGUGUUGAUGCUACUGGAAACUGAGCGAUCGACUCACAGCAGUGAACUCCCUGACCUGAGAUACCCAGGCAGCACUGGGUGCAUCACUUAACUCAGGCACCACUCAAGUAGACCACAGCCAAAAAGGUGAUGGCUGGCUGCUUUCUGCAACAAGGGAACAGACUAGGAGAAGGCUGUGCUUGGCUUCUACUGGUGCUGGGCAUGUCCUGAAAGUGUCCAGCUCUGAGACCUGAGAUCAGGCCUGGGAGGGACAGGGAGAGACUUGGGAGGAGGUCUCUCUUUCUCCUCCUCCCUUCUCACUCUCAUCUCCCGUGGAGAGCAUCAGGAAAGUGCCCCUACCGGGCAACUUUCCUGUGACAAAUAAAAGCUGAUAAUUUAAAAUGCUCUUAAUCGGGCCUGUGUGAAUGAGAAUGAACUUGGCGACUGUAAAUAAAACCUGUUAAUUAAAAAUGUAUUCUUUUGAGAAAACAAUGUUCUCCCAAUCCCUGCCGGUCCCUGUUAAAUGUGUUUUCCACCCUGGGCUGGAUUCAUACCGGUGGAGGGCAGGUGAGGCCCUCUCAGCCCUCCCUGGGAGCUCCUCCUGAGGACCUGGGGAAAGCUACUCCUUGCCGUGGCUUCUAUUCGGGGCCCUUCCAGUUUCUCAGCUCCCAAGCUCCUUCCUGCUCCUCUGCCCAGCCACAAAAGGCACACCCUGUGGCACUCUGGCCUUGGCCCCUCCAUCUCCUCUACCUGAGGGACCCUCCACAUCCCCCGUGUGGGGCUGCUUGGAGACGUCCGCUGGCGACAGCAGUUCAGCAGUUACCGCUGACACUCCAUGCCCUCUCACCUUGUUUGUUUCACCUAUGGCCCUUGUUACUAUUUAAAACCAUCUUUACUGCUUCUGGAUGGUUCCUGGAUCCCACAGGGCUGUGCUAUCCAAGACGCAGGGCCAUCGCCCUGUCGGUUGUGUCUUCAUCGCUUAGUCUGGGGAAAGGCCGCAGAAGUUUCUCAAGUCAUCCUCCUUGAGAGAUUGCGAAGACUCCAAAAGGAGGCGGAGCCUGAGACAGAGUCCCUCCCGAGAGGCAGCCUUGUGUCUGAGCGAGGAGGACUGCACAGCAGCGUGUACUAUGCUAAUGGGCCAGCAGGGGGCACUCAGGAGGCGGGCGGGAGGAAGAAACGCCCACAAAGAGGCUAAAGGUGGAGCUGGCCGUGUGCCUAAAGGAGAAAGUACAUCCUUGUACAACCUCCAGUAUCGCCAGUGCCUGGCAAUGCCUGCGGGGUUCCAGGUUCAAGGACACCCCAGUGAAGGCUUUAGGGCAACAAGGUUUCUCCCAGCAAUGGGUCAUGUCCAAUCGAAGGAGUGCUGGCCUUUAAACCAGAUCAGGGCCACAGCCUCUUGGCCAUGCCAGACUGUACUUGCCUGAUCACACCAGCUUGGGGGUGUGCAAAGGGAAUGAGGCUCAGUAAGAUUUUCCUGUUGUGCUCUCUGGAGGUCUUUAGCCCACAGUGAAUUUUUAAAAAGUAGCCAAUUGGAAAAGUACCUCCAAACCAAAAAACCCUUUGGGGAAAUGAGAUCCCACAACCCACUCCUUAGCCUUUGGUCCAGGUACACCCUCCCCAGGCCAGAGUACAAUCAGCCAGUGCCUUGCAGGGAGAUUCAGGGGUGCUCGCCUCCCUCCGCUGGGCACAAGACUGUGCCUCUGUGGGUCUCCGAUACUGAAAGGGGAUUGGUGGAGAGAUCCCUACAGUGGCUUUCCAGGCAGAUGAAAAGAGUAUGCUUUAAACGAGGCUUCUUCCUCUAGUGGCUACAAUGAAGAAGGAGAGCACAGCUCACUGGUGUGCAGGACAUGGGGGAUGCAAGCCUUGGGACCCGGGAGACAGGGUGCCCAGGAGGAAACACCAUUGCUUUGCAAAAAACCUUUGGCACUUCCGUCUCCACGGACCACAUCCUUGUGUCUUCCCUUUCCUCAUUUCCACACCACAUUUUGAAAACUAAGUAAAUCAAAUUUGUGUACACGUAGGGUACAGAGUUGGCAGAUACGGCCUCCUUUUCUGUGUCUAAAUCUCAUAGUCCACAUAUGGUGUCUCCUGCUUGAUAAUUCUCUGUCAUCAGUGUGGCUCCCUGCAUCUCUGUAAAAAACAUAAAUAAAUAAAAAUUUUUAAAUUCUAAA